UGUCGGAUUAUUGGGCGUAAGCGCGCGCAGGCGGUUUCUUAAGUCUGAUGUGAAAGCCCCCGGCUCAACCGGGGAGGGUCAUUGGAAACUGGGGAACUUGAGUGCAGAAGAGGAGAGUGGAAUUCCACGUGUAGCGGUGAAAUGCGUAGAGAUGUGGAGGAACACCAGUGGCGAAGGCGACUCUCUGGUCUGUAACUGACGCUGAGGCGCGAAAGCGUGGGGAGCGAACAGGAUUAGAUACCCUGGUAGUCCACGCCGUAAACGAUGAGUGCUAAGUGUUAGAGGGUUUCCGCCCUUUAGUGCUGCAGCAAACGCAUUAAGCACUCCGCCUGGGGAGUACGGUCGCAAGACUGAAACUCAAAGGAAUUGACGGGGGCCCGCACAAGCGGUGGAGCAUGUGGUUUAAUUCGAAGCAACGCGAAGAACCUUACCAGGUCUUGACAUCCUCUGACACCCCUAGAGAUAGGGCUUCCCCUUCGGGGGCAGAGUGACAGGUGGUGCAUGGUUGUCGUCAGCUCGUGUCGUGAGAUGUUGGGUUAAGUCCCGCAACGAGCGCAACCCUUGAUCUUAGUUGGCAGCAUUCAGUUGGG
rnacentral:rRNA from 1 species